GCAGAAUACAGGGAGGGCCAUUGUCGUAAAAAAAUAUAUAUAAAUCAGUCGUAAAAUGGCGGUUAAUGUAGUUACUCCUGCACUUCUACAAGACACUACACACCACAGUGCCCAUUCUAUAAUGUCAUGUAACACUAUGGUCUUGUGACCCUAAUGGCAAAGAGUCAUGCUGACUCAUUAAUUGCAUUAGAUUUACAUUUCCGGGCUUGUCGAACGUUCAUCCUGGGCGAUUUAGGUUUAGGCAAAAAAGAGCUUGUGCCACCAAGUCAUUAGGGUCACAUCCGACCGUAGUGUUAGUGUUACAUGAUUUAGCCUACUUCGAAGUAGUUUAAACCUACUACAUAAAAUUACCGGUCCCAUUUGAUUACAUUACAUUAAUUUAGUAGACGGUCUUAUCCACUGUAACUGCGACGCUUAGGAGGACACACGCACACACUUUUUAUUUUCUUUGGACAAGCCACUGAACAGUUAAUUGAGACAAGUCUAUUUUUCAUACAGUCUGAGACAAACUCACCCUGGCCUGGGGAACAAGAUGCAGGGAACGGAAGUACGAGCGGAAGAACUGGAUUUAAUGGCGGCAGUUUGAAAACUUAUGUUUUUAAAUUUUAUUUUGUGUUACUGUGUACAAUAUUUUUUUGGGCUUGAGGCCCAGUUCAAUUUCUGAUUAUUGUAUACAGUAAUGAAGGGGGAAGUGUGUGGAUGGAUCUUCUGGGAAAGAGAAAACCGCUGUGCAAUCUGAAAAAUGCAGUGGAGUGACGGGUUUGCACAUCCUGGUCUCCGUUUGUUUGUUUGUUUUAGUUAUUUCUCCCUUUUGUUUUGACGUGUUUAUUUUACAUUUUUUGCGUACUUGCUUUUAAAACAACUGAACGAACUCCUCCGAAUUACAAUGGAGAGAACAAGGAAAGUGCCUGGCCCUUGGAGAAAGUCCAAAGGCUGGGCUUGAAUGGGCCUCUGGACAGCUUCUUACACCGGCGCAUAUAUUUGCUGCAGAGAGAGCCAGGGAGCUUCCCCUUCGCCAGGCCCAGCCCAGAGCCCUCCACUGUCCGCACGCGAAUGUUCUGAAGCACACGAACAAUAGUUCUAGACACGGACGGUUGUCCCGCGAGGGAGGAGUCCAACCCCCUGCUUACCCGGAGGUGCAUGGGGCUGACCUGCAGC